GAUGAACGCUGGCGGCGUGCCUAAUACAUGCAAGUCGAGCGAACUGACGAGAAGCUUGCUUCUCUGAUGUUAGCGGCGGACGGGUGAGUAACACGUGGAUAACCUACCUAUAAGACUGGGAUAACUUCGGGAAACCGUAGCUAAUACCGGAUAAUAUUUUGAACCGCAUGGUUCAUAAGUGAAAGACGUUCUUUCUGUCACUUAUAGAUGGAUCCGCGCUGCAUUAGCUAGUUGGUAAGGUAACGGCUUACCAAGGCAACGAUGCAUAGCCGACCUGAGAGGGUGGACGGGCACACGGGAACAGAGACACGGUCGAGACACCUACGGGAGGCAGCAGUAGGGAAUCUUACGCGAGGGGCGAAAGCGUGACGGAGCAAAGCCGCGUGAGUGAUGAAGGAGUGCGGAUCGUAAAACGCAGAUAGUAGGGAAGAACAUAUGUGUAAGUGACAGUGAACAUCAUGACGGUACCUAAUAAGAAAGCCACGGCUAACUACGUG
rnacentral:rRNA from 1 species